rnacentral:rRNA from 1 species
AUUGAACGCUGGCGGCAGGCCUAACACAUGCAAGUCGAGCGGAUGAGAGGAGCUUGCUUCUCGAUUCAGCGGCGGACGGGUGAGUAAUGCCUAGGAAUCUGCCUGGUAGUGGGGGACAACGUUUCGAAAGGAACGCUAAUACCGCAUACGUCCUACGGGAGAAAGCAGGGGACCUUCGGGCCUUGCGCUAUCAGAUGAGCCUAGGUCGGAUUAGCUAGUUGGUGAGGUAAUGGCUCACCAAGGCGACGAUCCGUAACUGGUCUGAGAGGAUGAUCGAUCACACUGGAACUGAGACACGGUCCAGACUCCUACGGGAGGAAGCAGUGGGGAAUAUUGGACAAUGGGCGAAAGCCUGAUCCAGCCAUGCCGCGUGUGUGAAGAAGGUCUUCGGAUUGUAAAGCACUUUAAGUUGGGAGGAAGGGUUGUAGAUUAAUACUCUGCAAUUUUGACGUUACCGACAGAAUAAGCACCGGCUAACUCUGUGCCAGCCGCCGCGGUAAGAC